UGGGGAAUAUUGCACAAUGGGCGCAAGCCUGAUGCAGCCAUGCCGCGUGUGUGAAGAAGGCCUUCGGGUUGUAAAGCACUUUCAGCGAGGAGGAAGGCGUUAAGGUUAAUAACCUUAGCGAUUGACGUUACUCGCAGAAGAAGCACCGGCUAACUCCGUGCCAGCAGCCGCGGUAAUACGGAGGGUGCAAGCGUUAAUCGGAAUUACUGGGCGUAAAGCGCACGCAGGCGGUUUGUUAAGUCAGAUGUGAAAUCCCCGAGCUUAACUUGGGAAC
rnacentral:rRNA from 1 species